rnacentral:rRNA from 1 species
UACGUAGGCAGCAAGCGUUGUUCGGAGUUACUGGGCGUAAAGGGUGCGUAGGCGGCUUUUUAAGUCUGGUGUGAAAUCUCCCGGCUCAACUGGGAGGGUGCGCCGGAUACUGCCGGGCUUGAGUAUGGGAGAGGUGAGUGGAAUUCCUGGUGUAGCGGUGAAAUGCGUAGAUAUCAGGAGGAACACCUGUGGCGAAAGCGGCUCACUGGACCAUAACUGACGCUGAUGCACGAAAGCUAGGGGAGCAAACAGG